AGCAGUGAAGGCAGUUCAGAGCCAGAAGCCUCCGAGACCUGAAGGUGUUUAUUCCGAUUCAAAAGUCUGCUGACAGGCCGGCGCCGGCGGCGGCUCUCACC